rnacentral:rRNA from 1 species
UACGAAGGGGGCUAGCGUUACUCGGAAUUAUUGGGCGUAAAGCGUGCGCAGGCGGUUUAGCAAGUUAAAAGUGAAAUCCUGGGGCUCAACCCCAGAACUGCUUUUAAUACUGCUUAACUAGAGUAAAGGAGGGGGUGACGGAAUUCCUAGUGUAGAGGUGAAAUUCGUAGAUAUUAGGAGGAACACCGGUGGCGAAAGCA